rnacentral:rRNA from 1 species
GCUACAGGCUUAACACAUGCAAGUCGAGGGGCAGCAUGGUCUUAGCUUGCUAAGGCCGAUGGCGACCGGCGCACGGGUGAGUAACACGUAUCCAACCUGCCGUCUACUCUUGGACAGCCUUCUGAAAGGAAGAUUAAUACAAGAUGGCAUCAUGAGUCCGCAUGUUCACAUGAUUAAAGGUAUUCCGGUAGACGAUGGGGAUGCGUUCCAUUAGAUAGUAGGCGGGGUAACGGCCCACCUAGUCUUCGAUGGAUAGGGGUUCUGAGAGGAAGGUCCCCCACAUUGGAACUGAGACACGGUCCAAACUCCUACGGGAGGCAGCAGUGAGGAAUAUUGGUCAAUGGGCGAGAGCCUGAACCAGCCAAGUAGCGUGAAGGAUGACUGCCCUAUGGGUUGUAAACUUCUUUUAUAAAGGAAUAAAGUCGGGUAUGGAUACCCGUUUGCAUGUACUUUAUGAAUAAGGAUCGGCUAACUCCGUGCCAGCAGCCGCGGUAAUACGGAGGAUCCGAGCGUUAUCCGGAUUUAUUGGGUUUAAAGGAAGCGUAGAUGGAUGUUUAAGUCAGUUGUGAAAGUUUGCGGCUCAACCGUAAAAUUGCAGUUGAUACUGGAUAUCUUGAGUGCAGUUGAGGCAGGCGGAAUUCGUGGUGUAGCGGUGAAAUGCUUAGAUAUCACGAAGAACUCCGAUUGCGAAGGCAGCCUGCUAAGCUGCAACUGACAUUGAGGCUCGAAAGUGUGGGUAUCAAACAGGAUUAGAUACCCUGGUAGUCCACACGGUAAACGAUGAAUACUCGCUGUUUGCGAUAUACAGCAAGCGGCCGAGCGAAAGCGUUAAGUAUUCCACCUGGGGAGUACGCCGGCAACGGUGAAACUCAAAGGAAUUGACGGGGGCCCGCACAAGCGGAGGAACAUGUGGUUUAAUUCGAUGAUACGCGAGGAACCUUACCCGGGCUUAAAUUGCAGAUGAAUUACGGUGAAAGCCGUAAGCCGCAAGGCAUCUGUGAAGGUGCUGCAUGGUUGUCGUCAGCUCGUGCCGUGAGGUGUCGGCUUAAGUGCCAUAACGAGCGCAACCCUUGUUGUCAGUUACUAACAGGUUCCGCUGAGGACUCUGACAAGACUGCCAUCGUAAGAUGUGAGGAAGGUGGGGAUGACGUCAAAUCAGCACGGCCCUUACGUCCGGGGCUACACACGUGUUACAAUGGGGGGUACAGAGGGCCGCUACCACGCGAGUGGAUGCCAAUCCCCAAAACCUCUCUCAGUUCGGACUGGAGUCUGCAACCCGACUCCACGAAGCUGGAUUCGCUAGUAAUCGCGCAUCAGCCACGGCGCGGUGAAUACGUUCCCGGGCCUUGUACACACCGCCCGUCAAGCCAUGGGAGCCGGGGGUACCUGAAGUGCGUAACCGCGAGGAGCGCCCUAGGGUAAAACUGGUGACUGGGGCUAAGUCAUAAC